UGGGGGAUAUUGCACAAUGGGCGAAAGCCUGAUGCAGCGACGCCGCGUGGGGGAUGAAGGCUUUCGGGUUGUAAACCUCUUUCGCUAUCGAACAAGGCCCGCUUAGGGUGGGUUGAGGGUAGGUGGAGAAGAAGCGCCGGCUAACUACGUGCCAGCAGCCGCGGUAAUACGUUGGGCGCGAGCGUUGUCCGGAAUUAUUGGGCGUAAAGGGCUUGUAGGCGGCUUGUUGCGCCUGCUGUGAAAACGCGGGGCUUAACUUCGCGCGUGCAGUGGGUACGGGCAGGCUUGAGUGUGGUAGGGGUGACUGGAAUUCCAGGUGUAGCGGUGGAAUGCGCAGAUAUCUGGAGGAACACCGAUGGCGAAGGCAGGUCACUGGGCCAUUACUGACGCUGAGGAGCGAAAGCAUGGGUAGCGAACAGG
rnacentral:rRNA from 1 species